AUUGAACGCUGGCGGCAGGCCUAACACAUGCAAGUCGAGCGAGCGGCGGACGGGUGAGUAAUGUAUGGGGACUGCCCGAUAGAGGGGGAUAACUACUGGAAACGGUGGCUAAUACCGCAUACUAUCGGAUAACCCAAAUGGGAUUAGCUAGUAGGUGGGUUAAAGGAUCACCUAGGCGACGAUCUCUAGCUGGUCUGAGAGGAUGAUCAGCCACACGGGGACUGAGACACGGUCCGGACUCCUACGGAGGCAGCAGUGGUGAAUAGGGCAAAAAGGGCGCAAGCCGGAUACAGACAUGCCGGGGGGAUGAAUAAGGCCUUAGGGUUUUAAAGUACUUUCAGCGGGGAGGCGUUACCCGCAGAAGAAGCACCGGCUAACUCCGUGCCAGCAGCCGCGGUAAUUC
rnacentral:rRNA from 1 species